rfam:Oryza punctata chromosome 1, whole genome shotgun sequence.
GAGUUCGACGCUUAGUUGGUAGAGCAUUGGGCUUUUAACCUAAUAGUCACAGGUUCAAGUCCUGCUAUACCCA